rnacentral:rRNA from 1 species
GGUGAACCUGCGGAAGGAUCAUUACCGAGUGUAGGGUUCCUAGCGAGCCCAACCUCCCACCCGUGUUUACUGUACCUUAGUUGCUUCGGCGGGCCCGCCAUUCAUGGCCGCCGGGGGCUCUCAGCCCCGGGCCCGCGCCCGCCGGAGACACCACGAACUCUGUCUGAUCUAGUGAAGUCUGAGUUGAUUGUAUCGCAAUCAGUUAAAACUUUCAACAAUGGAUCUCUUGGUUCCGGCAUCGAUGAAGAACGCAGCGAAAUGCGAUAACUAGUGUGAAUUGCAGAAUUCCGUGAAUCAUCGAGUCUUUGAACGCACAUUGCGCCCCCUGGUAUUCCGGGGGGCAUGCCUGUCCGAGCGUCAUUGCUGCCCAUCAAGCACGGCUUGUGUGUUGGGUCGUCGUCCCCUCUCCGGGGGGGACGGGCCCCAAAGGCAGCGGCGGCACCGCGUCCGAUCCUCGAGCGUAUGGGGCUUUGUCACCCGCUCUGUAGGCCCGGCCGGCGCUUGCCGAACGCAAAUCAAUC